GGUAAUACCGCGUGUUUUCCUUGACUCAAAAGCUUUAUUUUUGCUCACCGAACCCCCUGAUAAAACAGUUUCCUGUGCGAAAGUACAACUUGGCUGACGGCGAUUAGCACGACAGAAAGAGCGUGGAGAAAAAAAAAAAAGCAGCUGCCUGUUUUAGUGUCUCAAGCCCCCCCAGGUCUAUAAUAGACGCCUCUGUCUGGUCUCUGGACCGGAGCCAGGAACCCAGCAGACCAGAGGUCUCUCUUCACCAGAUGCCAAAGCAGAAGAUCCCAGGAUGAGGUGGCAGCGGAGCAGUACAGUCACUCGAAUGGUGCCACCAUAAAUAACCGCUUUCAUUGUGAUAUGAUAUUUGGAGACCCUUGGAAUUUGUGACAUCACAGCAAGUUAUAUGGAUCUCCCCGGAGCAGCGGAGCUCUGCAGCGCUGAGGUGCGGGGGAGGCGGCGGUCGUCGGGGUUGGAUUCAGCACGCCGG